AAAGUCGAAGAAGAAGAAGAAGAAAAAUUAAAAAAAAAAAGAAAAAGAAGAGAAAGAAAAUGACCAAAAAACGAAGAACGAGAAACGAUGAAUGAAGUACGACGAACGAGGAACAUAUAAAUCCAACUGGAUUUUUGUAUUUUUUUAUUACUGGACGAAAAGUUUAACGAAAAAUUCUAUCCGCUAUUAGCUUGAACGGGGGAUAAAAUAUGUUGUUAGUGUUCACAGUGAAUAAAAUUCGCCUUAGCUUAACAGCAGAUAAAAUUCCACUGUUUGCUUAUUUAUCAUUACUUAUCCUAACAACGGUUAUCUAUCCUCCGUUACGGUUUCUAACAACAGACUAUGUGCUGUUAAAAUAGAUAAAAACGUUGUCGUUAGCCAUCCAGUUUGUUGUAGUGAGAUAAAUUUGGGCAGAGUGUCUGCUUGGUGAGAUUUUGUCCCUCCUUUCCAUUGAUUGCCUUCUUGUAUUUAUAGGCAGGCAUUUGUGAUUGCUGCCACUGAAAGCAACUGGAUGUUUUUAGUAGUAGAUGAUAAAUUUGGACAUUGCUAUGAUAAUGUUGUUGGCAAUUUCUUUUCUUUAACUACUCUAGAUUCUGGUGUGGAC
rnacentral:lncRNA from 1 species